UACGUAGGGUGCGAGCGUUAAUCGGAAUUACUAGGGCGUGAACGUGACGCAGGCGGUUUGUAUGUCUGUCGUGAAAUCCGGGACCGUCACCUCGGAACUGGACCUUUGAUCACUGCAAAUCUCGAGUCCGAUAGAGGUGGGUGGAAUUCCUAGUGUAGAGGUGAAAUUCGUAGAUAUUAGGAAGAACACCGGUGGCGAAGGCGGCCCACUGGAUCGGUACUGACGUGAGGUGCGAAAGCGUGGGGAGCAAACAGG
rnacentral:rRNA from 1 species